ensembl:lncRNA
CUGUGUAAGUAAUGCCUACGUCCCGACUAGCCUGAAAGGUUACUGGAGAAUUCGACAUCUGACCUUUGCUAGAUAACCAUCAGAGCAUAAAUAUUCUCCUAAAUAUGAACUUUUUUUGUUGGUUUGGAGGCAGGAGGAUCUCUUACCUGAGAAAUGGGGUGUGAAUGUUUUGUGUUCUCUUUACUCUGUCUUUGUUAAGGUGUGAGAAAGCUAUACUGCUACGAGCAAUUUAAUUAAUAAUUGGAAGCCAUACUGAUAAUGGAUGUGGUAAUAUUUGUAAAGCAAACCUACUCUAAGUAGCAGGAACUAAUGGAAUUGUUUUCCUUGAUCAUAUGUAGCACUUUUGUUACUUUUUUCUUAAAGAUAUUUAUAUUUGAUAAGUCUUUUUUUUAUCAUUUGAGAAUUCCAAAUACCAAACAGCAAACUUGCAUUACAGAGUCACCCUGCGAUCACCUUGUCAUCUAGUAUCUAAAUGAUGAACUGUGUGUGCAUCUAAGAAAAUUACAUCUGCUAGCAUUGUGUGGAAAUGAUCUCCUGGCAUCCUGAUAAAAUGAUAUGUUGCUGCCGGUGCAGUAUCCCUCUCCCGCUGCGCGUCCGACCUCCUUCCUCCACAGGGAAUGAGUCAGGUGAUGCCCCUCAUCAUCGUCAUCAUCAUCAUCGUCAUCAUCAUCAUCAUCAUCAGCAUCAUCCUAUCAUUAUCAUCAUCCCCUUCAGAUCCACCCUGGUCUUGAUCUUAAGGGCUGCUUGUUCAGCUGAGAGAUGAGAUGUUUCAUUGCCCACUCCUUGUGUCGCUGCUGCUCCUGGUGAAGUUGAAUAUUCAUGUGCUGGUUGACUCCUCUGCACGUAGCUGUUCCCUGAACACGUUUCCAUGCUCUGCUGCUGCUCCUCAGCCUGACAUUUUGGGGAGAAAAAAAUGGAUUGGAUAGGUUGGGAGGGAGGAUGAGCAGAUCCUCGUGGUGGGAAGUUGCUUGUGGAGAAGGAGGUGCCGGGGUGGUCCCCGGGUGAGCCUCACUCAGAGCCCAUGGGGGAUGGAGGAAGCUCCUCGUGUUCCCCACGCUGGCUGUCAGGGAGGAAGGCUGGGGAGGAGGGGAUGGGUUGUAACUCUCCCUGUGCCCCCUCAGGAACAUCCACCCCAGCACCCCUGGUGGCUUUGGGGCACUUUGGCUCUUGGCUUUGGGAGCAGCCCUGAGAGGGAUCCAUCUGUUCAUGCACUGCCCUUGCAGUGAAGGCACUGAGUGUUGAGAAGAACAUUCCAAACUCUUCUCCCAGUCACUGCCUUUAUCUGCAAGGUGCUGAUGGCUCCCUGCAAGGAGAAAAGGAAUAGUGUAGGAAACCUGAGAACCCUUGGUGCACUUGGGAAUCGUCAUUUAUCCAUCACAGAGAGCUAUCCAGGGAAACAAAGGGCCAAAGGAAGCUGGAGAGAACAGGAUGUAGUGGAGUAACUGAUGGAAAACUUGGGGUGGGAGAUGAUGAAAUUCACCUUCAGUCCCACCACAGUCCCUUGAGGAAACUGCUCCAGCCUCCAUCCCAAUGCAGCUGAGGGUCAGUGUCCAUCACACCUUCCCCUGGCAGCAGGUGCUGUGAAAACAAACCAUCAUCCUGUCCCCUUGUGCCCUUCUUGGUUUUCUCUUUUUUAAUUUCAUCCCUGUCUUCAUUAGAGCCGACCCGCGGCCCGGGGAGAGCGAUACUGCACCUUUCCACGUAGGGCUCAUAUUUAUAACAAUGUGUAAUGACUGUAGCAAAAGUCCUUGUUUCUGUAUGUGAAUGGACAGAGAAACAAGUGCUCUAUUGUAUUGAUUAAAAUAGUUCAAAUGAGUCCUGUAUCAUUGUAUCUCCUAUUCUGGAUUAGUGCCUUUUGGACAGUAGACUGUUCUGUAAUUAAAAUGUAGUAUAACUGCUUUUUUGUACAGUUUUGUUUUAAUAAAACUUUUUUUUAAUUUGUGUUUAUUUUAGUA